rnacentral:tRNA from 2 species
GCCCUCGUAGCUCAACGGAUAGAGUGUCUGGCUUCGAACCAGAAGGUUGGGGGUUCGAUUCCCUCCGAGGGUACCA